UUUUGAAUGGGAAGACCCAGCAGGAGGCACCAAACAACAGCUCACCUGGACUCCUCCCGCAGGAUUUAAGAAUUCCCUAACCAUCUUUGGGGAAGCCUUGGCUUCCGACCUGGACUCCUUCCAGCCAGAGAAGUUCAGAUGCUGGUUGCUACAAUACGUGGACGACUUGCUGUUGGCUGCCAAGAAUGGUGAAGACUGCUGGGAAGGAACCAAGGCUUUCCUACAGCUAUUGUUGGAGUCUGGCUCCCGAGUCUGAAAAAAGAAGACACAGAUCUGCAAAGAGGAGAUGGUUCAACACAGGGAUCACUCUGAAAACAUCUGAACCAAUACAACCAGAAACCAGAAGAUUAGUGGAAACAACAACAACAACAACUGUGGUGUGAUGACAGACCUCGGGAUAUUAAAAAUGUGAUGCACAAUUAUUUUGGAAAGAGAAUUGCCCAAGGGUAGAAAAAUGCCCAGAAGCAACUUGAUAUUAAAGAAAAUAUGCUAUUUUUUAAAUCUGUAUGAGCUUGGGAUUCAGUGUUAAUUUCUUCUUUAAAGAAGAUAUAUUUGUGGCUGAAAUAUGUGUAUUACAUGAACUAAGAGAGUAACAUAUUCUUUCUAAGAAAAAAACAAACACACACAAGUAAGAUGACUAGGAGGAAGGGACUACUGAAAGAGUCCUUGAUAGUGACAAGCUGGAGAUCACUGACAUUGUAUCAUAAAAAUAAAGGAAGUGCUUCCUAGAUUUUACUAGCAAA
rnacentral:lncRNA from 1 species